UAGGGAAUCUUCCGCAACGGGCGAAAGCCUGACGGAGCAACGCCGCGUGAGUGAUGAAGGUCUUCGGAUCGUAAAACUCUUUUAUUAGGGAAGAACAAAUGUGUAAGUAACUAUGCACGUCUUGACGGUACCUAAUCAGAAAGCCACGGCUAACUACGUGCCAGCAGCCGCGGUAAUACGUAGGUGGCAAGCGUUAUCCGGAAUUAUUGGGCGUAAAGCGCGCGUAGGCGGUUUUUUAAGUCUGAUGUGAAAACCCACGGCUCAACCGUGGAGGGUCAUUGGAACCUGGAAAACUUGAGUGCAGGAGAGGAAAGUGAAAUUCCAUGUGUAGCGGUGAAAUGCGCAGGGAUAUGGAGGAACACCAGUGGCAAAGGCGACUUUCUGGUCUGUAACUGACGCUGAUGUGCGAAAGCGUGGGGAUCAAACAGG
rnacentral:rRNA from 1 species